GAUGAACGCUGGCGGCGUGCCUAAUACAUGCAAGUCGAGCGAACAGACGAGGAGCUUGCUCCUCUGACGUUAGCGGCGGACGGGUGAGUAACACGUGGAUAACCUACCUAUAAGACUGGGAUAACUUCGGGAAACCGGAGCUAAUACCGGAUAAUAUAUUGAACCGCAUGGUUCAAUAGUGAAAGACGGUUUUGCUGUCACUUAUAGAUGGAUCCGCGCCGCAUUAGCUAGUUGGUAAGGUAACGGCUUACCAAGGCAACGAUGCGUAGCCGACCUGAGAGGGUGAGCGGCCACACUGGAACUGAGACACGGGCCAGACUCCUACGGGAGGCAGCAGUAGGGAAUCUUCCGAAAUGGGCGAAAGCCUGACGGAGCAACGCCGCGUGAGUGAUGAAGGUCUUCGGAUCGUAAAACUCUGUUAUUAGGGAAGAAAAAAUGUGUAAGUAACUAUGCACGUCUUGACGGUACCUAAUCAGAAAGCCACGGCUAACUACG
rnacentral:rRNA from 1 species